CAGCACCUCAAGUGGUCAGGAUGAUUAUUGGGCCUAAAGCAUCCGUAGCCGGCGCUGUAAGUUUUCGGUUAAAUCUGUACGCUCAACGUACAGGCUGCCGGGAAUACUGCAGCGCUAGGGAGUGGGAGAGGUAGACGGUACUCGGUAGGAAGGGGUAAAAUCCUUUGAUCUAUUGAUGACCACCUGUGGCGAAGGCGGUCUACCAGAACACGUCCGACGGUGAGGGAUGAAAGCUGGGCGAGCAAACCGGAUUAGAUACCCGAGUAGUCC
rnacentral:rRNA from 1 species